rnacentral:rRNA from 1 species
AUGAUGCAACCACAAGGUUUUGUCGAUCCUAAAGGUGCUAACAAAGUGUGCAAGCUCCAACGAUCCAUCUAUGGACUAGUGCAAGCAUCUCGGAGUUGGAAUAUACAGUUUCAUGAGGUGAUCAAAGCAUAUGGUUUUAUACAGACUUAUGGUGAAGCCUGUAUUUACAAGAAAGUGAGUGGGAGCUCUGUAGCAUUUCUGAUAUUAUAUGUGGAUGACAUAUUGUUGAUUGGAAAUGAUAUUGAAUUUCUGGAUAGCAUAAAAGGAUACUUGAAUAAGAAUUUUUCAAUGAAAAAACCUCGGUGA